rnacentral:rRNA from 1 species
UACGGGGGGGGCUAGCGUUGUUCGGAAUUAUUGGGCGUAAAGAGCUCGUAGGCGGUUUGUCGCGUCUGCUGUGAAAACUCGGGGCUUAACUCCGGGCCUGCAGUGGGUACGGGCAGACUAGAGUGCGGUAGGGGAGACUGGAAUUCCUGGUGUAGCGGUGAAAUGCGCAGAUAUCAGGAGGAACACCGGUGGCGAAGGCGGGUCUCUGGGCCGUAACUGACGCUGAGGAGCGAAAGCGUGGGGAGCGAACAGG